UCGUGAACCGUUCGCACAGUCGAAUUUGUGUUCCUGACAACCAUAAUAUUAUAAUAUUGUUCCGGUCGAAUUUUCUCCGCCGCCGAAUCUCACCGCCGUAAUGCUUACCGCUUCAUCCGAGUGUACUUGUGGCCAACCACCCUAGGUUGGACGAAGAAUUAAAAUCCGUUAGUCGUAAGUUCCAAAAGUGUCCGUGAUUUACGACCUCGGGCGCUUAUAAUAUUGAACGAGCUACGCGCCCAUCCACAGAACAGUGUGUCAGUGUGGAUACCGGCCCGUGCCUUUUCUAAGGUCUUGUGCCACCCCCAAGACAGUACUCCAGUCAAGGUCCACCAACAAUCUGCGUCCCACAUCACCCGGUCACCGUAGUUCCUGCCUGCAGCCCGAGUCUCCGCGAAAAGAGUACACUGAAUUCGUGGGUUUUACCGACUGUCAAAGGAGAUGUACAUUCUAAUGAAGGUUUUCGUGAGAUUUUAUCUCCCGGGACAAUACCAUUAUGUAAGCCAACAUAUUUUGCACCAAAUAGACAAAAAAAUACUAGACUAGAACUAUUUUGUCAGCCUGAUGGAAUAUGAAGUAAACAUCUAUAUAGAUGCAAUACAUAUUGCGGUACAGUAAAUAACACCAUCAAAGUACUGAUAAAGCACUUGUCGGAACGGCACCUUGGAAUGCCGGAAUAUGUAGAUUAAAUAAAACAAACUUCGGUGAUUAUUUGAUAUGCAUGGAGGAUCAAUAAUUGCUUCAAACUUAGUCGUUUCUGUUAGUCUUUGUCAAAAAAUUUAAGAAAUAAUAAAAAAUAAAUAAAUAUUAUUUUUAGAGGCUCAUUGUUUUUAGAAAAAAUGUAUGUUCUCUAAUAAUAUAUCUAUAAUUUCCUGUCUUUACAAAAUUGUCGGUGGGAAAUAUGAAAAAAACUUUUCAAUAAUUAAUGACUUCAAAUUUCCUCAAUUACCAAUGUGGAUAUGGUUCACUCAAAAGAAGGUUAUUAUGGAUACUAUGGGUUUCAUGCUGAAGUUAUAGCUAUUAUUGUAUUACAAAAAGAGUUUCUUUUAGUAAUGAUGUUGUAUUCGUUUGUAUUAAUUGGAAUGGAAAAUACAACGUAGUCAAUGGAGAUCAAGGAAAGUUUCAGAACACGGAUUGGACGAGGGAGACAGUGGUUCAGGCUCGUGCUUUUUAGACUCUAAUUUGUAUUGUUUAACCGGAAUAGUGAGUAUCAAGGAUCCAGAACUGGAAAUUUUAAUUGCAGUUUCCACAGAAAUUAAGUACCACAUUCAAUGGAUUCGUAAACAGUAUAAACAUUAUAACUAAGUCAAAUACAAUUAAGGUAAUGUUAUCCCAAUUGUAAUUGAAAUAUAUAUUAGUAUAUUUUGAAUAA